rnacentral:rRNA from 1 species
CCCUACGGGGGGCAGCAGUGAGGAAUAUUGGUCAAUGGGCGCAAGCCUGAACCAGCCAAGUCGCGUGAGGGAAGACGGCCCUACGGGUUGUAAACCUCUUUUGCCGGGGAGCAAGCCUGAGCACGUGUGCCCAGGCGGAGAGUACCCGGAGAAAAAGCAUCGGCUAACUCCGUGCCAGCAGCCGCGGUAAUACGGAGGAUGCGAGCGUUAUCCGGAUUUAUUGGGCGUAAAGCGAGUGCAGGCGGUUCAAUAAGUCUG